CAGAUACUCCUUCCGUUUCAAAACUUUUGUUUUAGAUUUGUUUAGAUAUAAAUGUGUCUAGUCAAGUUUUAGUAUUUAGAUACAUUUAUUUUUAAACAAAGUUAAGACAAGAAUUUUGGAACGGACAAAGGGAGUACAAA
rnacentral:pre_miRNA from 1 species